GCUUUACAUGUUGGUUGAAUUUAAUUGAUUUGAAGGUAUAAGAGUUAAGUUUCAAUUGUCGUGUUUUGUUGGGGAGACAUAGGUAUAAUUUUUGUAACUGCUUGGAAUAAAUACAAUAAUGGGUGAAUUAUAGUGAAGAUGAUCCUUUGUAAGGAUUAAAAGACCAAGUU
rnacentral:rRNA from 1 species